rnacentral:rRNA from 1 species
GAGUAACUAUGACUCUCUUAAAACCUUGAGAGAAACAGGGGGAGUGCCUUAGCGGGGUGCUUGCCACCUCCUAGUACACUUGGCGUCUGAGACGGGGAAGUUCCCUAAUGUCAGGUCUCGGGGCGCCGGGACCCCCCUCGGGAGGGGGGGGUUGGAGCGCUAGUCAGGGUGCAACACCACCUGGUUCGAGGGAGGCCCUGAUGGGUCCGGGAUAUUCAGCUAAGUAUGUCCCGGGUCCAAGCGAGGGGUUAAUCUCGAUACGAGGCAAUUCACGACUGCCCGUGGUAACGUGCGGAAAGGGGUGGGUCAGGUCCCGGGUUUUCCCGGGACUUGGCUUAAGGAACGUACUAUGCCCACACGAGCUCUCGGAGCGAAGUGUGCUCAGUAGAUAAGGGCUGACACCCGAGGAUACUGGGGAGAUCCAUCUUGGGGGGAAGACUGCAUAUCCCUGAGAAAUGAAGGUCUGGUAGCAGGAUUUUAUUCUUAAAAUUAGAAGGUAGCCAAAUGCCUCGUCAUCAUACAAAAAGGUCUCGGGAUCUAGGUCCCGGGAUCUCGGGUCGCCACGGUCGCCAUGGUCAUCAUACGUAAGCAUCGCGUUCGAAAACCACUUCCGAGAGGGAGGUUCCGGGGAUACCCGGUAUCCUUUUUUUCGGUUGAGGAAAUCAAGCCGAGUACUCUCGGGUGUUCUUGCCUGCAUCGAUGGGGUAGCUCCCUGUCACCGCUGGUUCAUACACCUACGGGGAAUGGCCGUACCUUGCCCGUCAGGUCGUCAUGUCAUCAUACGUAAGCAUCGCGUUCGAAAACCACUUCCGAGAGGGAGGUUCCGGGGAUACCCGGUAUCCUUUUUUUCGGUUGAGGAAAUCAAGCCGAGUACUCUCUGGUGUUCUUGCCUGCAUCGAUGGGGUAGCUACCUGUCACCGCUGGUUCAUACACCUACGGGGAAUGGCCGACCAAUUGCCCGUUAGGUCGUCAUGUCGUCAUACGGAAGCAGCGUGUUCACAAAGCCACUUCCGAGAGGGAGGUUCCGGGGAUACCCGGUAUCCUUUUUUUCGGUUGAGGUGAUCCAGCCAAAGUACCUCCGGGUGUUCUUGCCUGCACCGAUAGGGUAGCCCCUAUCACCGCGGGUCCAUACACUCGGGGGGGAAUGGCCGCACCAAAUUGCCCGGAGGACUCUUAUGAGUAACAAUGGGCAGCCAACCAACAUCCCGGGGAUACCUGGGGUCUGGGAGGUUCAGAGACUAAAAGGUAACCCGGAGGAGUCAUAGUCCGUCGCCAGGUUCCCGAAGAGUUGUGAGCGAGUGGCUUGUAAGUCAGGAUGUCCCGGGGUAACCCUCACCCCCGGGAUAUUUUGGCUAAGCAUUGGCCAGAGGCUCCGGAUGCUCGGUAGGGUUCCGCCACCAGACGUUAAUUUGUGACGCGCAUGAAUGGAUUAAUGAGAUUCCCACUGUCCCUACCUACUAUCUAGCGAAACCACAGCCAAGGGAACGGGCUUGGCACAAUUAGCGGGGAAAGAAGACCCUGAACUCAAUGGGGUCAACAGGGGGCGCCAGAAAUGGUGUGAAACCUCCUAGUCAAGCUGAUCAAUAGUUCUAUGGCUCUGUUAAGCAAGGAGCCUUGGGAAGUGCAAGUAGUCAGCUGGCAAGACAACCUGGUACGAGGAAAACCUGGAGAUAACUCCUCCAGACAAUCUCGUGGCGAGCCCUUAAGCAAGGCCGUCGUAACGUGCGGAAAGGUGUCGGUCCGGGCAUAUGGCGCCCGGGCUUAAGGAACGUACUAAUCCCACACGUGAGUGUGCCUGACAGAGUAGGGCUUGCAUCCCGAGUCUGUUAGAGACGGUGCCGUGGAUAUCUGGUCAAAAGGGGCUUUGGCCCCCUGCGACCCCCCAUGGUUCGACUCAGGGAGGAAAUGCCCUGGGUGAAGUCUGGUAUAUCAAUGGUUGAGCUUGACUCUAGGCACAGAAGCGAGGUGAUUCUAAAGGUGUAGCAUAGGUGGGAGGGCCUGGCCCGACCUUGAAAUACCACCACUUUCGACAUCGCUUUGCUAAUGCUGUAACGAACGAACGGCCCCCGGGCCCGUCACCCGCAAGGGUGGCACCCGGUAAGGUCAUAUUCUAGCGCUUUCCUAGUCGGAUACGAUGGCUUGGCUCCUCUGGGUGAGUACCUUGGGACCGCAAACUGGGCUUCCGGGUCUGGUGCGCGUUGUUUCCGGGGGAACCAGGGAUGGUUGGGCUGUCCUCUGUCCGGCGAAAUCGGGUACGUAAGCCGUGUAGCAGACCAUCUGUGUUGGGGAGUUUGGCUGGGGCGGAAAACUGCUACACGGCAACGGCAGUCUCCUAAGGUCCACUCAGAGACGACAGAAACGUCUCGUAGAGCAUAAAGGCAAARGUGGGCUUAACUCGCAUUUUCAGUAGUAAUGUGAAGCAAGAAAUUGAGGCUUAACGAUCCUUAGCAGCGGGUGCCAGCCCAUGCUUGAGGUGAGAGAAAAGUUACCACAGGGAUUGAUCAAACGGUAGCUUGGGGGAAGGCGUGAUGCUGGUCGUUAGUACGGGGGAUGCUGCAGCACCCCCCCGAAAGCACCGGUGUCCAAUGGGGGUUAGUACGGGGCGCUGCAGCAAGUUCCCGAACAUUCUCGUUACUUCCUCACGGUUCGUUCGCUAGUAGGGUUUCCCUCCCGGGUUAUCCAAGGGCGUCUGAAUCUGGGUUCCAUCGGUGCGGUCGGCUUGGGAAACUUGUUAGAUUUGACGGUAAUACGGAAGGUUUAGGUACCAUCCUGAGCUCGAAGGUCUGACUCGUAAAAUCCUUGCCGGGUUUCGUGCAUAGUCAGCUGGGGCGAGGUGCAGGUUGCCCCUAGCAAGGCGACACACCUGGAUGCUGGAAAGACCCAUCCCAAACAGUAUUGGUACCAAGCGUUCUCUGGUGACACCAGGGCGUAGAGUGGCCAUCCCCUCUUCGGAGGACGGUGGUUACGGGUAAUAACCUGAUGCUGGGGUUCACUAGCAGGCGACAAGGUCAACCCAAGGGGCUAACAGUGUGGUCGAGCGGGGUUUCCCUGCCUUCCCGAACAUUUGCCCUAUGGUAAUGGUGACUGAGCGUCUCAACGACUGGUAAGGUGUAGGCAUUGUUGGGUUUCAAGCUAUCCCGGGAUAUCCCGGGGUGGCGAUGGGAUCUGGUGGUGCUUAAGGAACAGUCUACUCCCACCCGCAAGGGUGCCCGGACCACCAACCCCGAUUUUCUCGGGAUCCAUCCGUGGGUCCCGGGAUUUUCGGGGAACCCACGACUGCCGGGUUAGGUUCAGGGGCGGAGCAUCUCGGGAGACACCAUAGCCGUUUGAGUAGGGUCCGGUAUGGGGAAUUUUCACUCCAAAACCACAAGGAUUCGAAAGGUUACGGGAUAUCCCGGGGUCGACUUACGUGGUACUGGGAACUGGCUUGUGGCCGCCAAGCGUUCAUAGCGACGUGGC